AUGGUGAGGAAGAUUUUCAUAUAUACAUCAGAAGAAGUCAAGAGAUUAUCUCCCAAGAUUAAACUUCCAGUAAUGAAGAGAUUAAAGCAACCACAGCUGAUCCUGACACUGAUGCAGCAGUUAACUCGAAGGACCAGUUAUCAGUUGUCUGGCCUGGUUGAUAAUAACCGCAUGCUAUUUUACCAGGAAUGUCUGUUAAGGGAUUAGGAAAGGGAGUGAUGAAGAAAAAGAAUAUGGUAAAGAUCAUGUUUACGGUGGUGUACAUGGAAUGGUCAGUGACAUUUCCAGACAUGCGGCACUAGAUUACCGCUGAGAUGGAUGGCAGAUGUUUGCUGAACAAGUCAUUCGUGGAGAGUGAGACUGUUAUAUCUAAAAAUAGGUUUUGGGGUUUUACUUUGCAUUAUUUUUCAAGGGAAUCCUAUAGUGCUUGCUUGUUUGGAUCCAAGUAGGCUGAAAAAGUUUGUCCAUGCCACCUCUUCUGCUCAGCCAAUGAAGAAAAGAGAAAAUUCAGUUUCUCUUAUUUUUGCCUGCU
rnacentral:misc_RNA from 1 species